rnacentral:rRNA from 1 species
UACGGAGGAUGCAAGCGUUAUCCGGAAUGAUUGGGCGUAAAGCGUCCGCAGGUGGCUAUGUAAGUCUGCUGUUAAAGAGCAAGGCUCAACCUUGUAAAGGCAGUGGAAACUACAUGGCUAGAGUGCGUUCGGGGCAGAGGGAAUUCCUGGUGUAGCGGUGAAAUGCGUAGAGAUCAGGAAGAACACCGGUGGCGAAAGCGCUCUGCUAGGCCGCAACUGACACUGAGGGACGAAGGCUAGGGGAGCGAAUGGG